rnacentral:lncRNA from 1 species
UUUUUUUUUUUUUUUUUUUUUUGUCUUUUUGCUAUUUUUUGGACUGCUCCCGCAGCAUAUGGAGGUUCCCGGUCUAGGGGUCUAAUCGGAGCUGUAGCCACCGGCCUACGCCAGAGCCACAGCAAUGCGGGAUCCGAGCCUUGUCUGCGACCUACACCACAGCUCACGGCAACGCCAGAUCAUUAACCCAUUGAGCAAGGGCAGGGACCGAACCCGCAACCUCAUGGUUCCUAGUCGGAUUCAUUUACCACUGCGCCACUACGCAGUGUCUUGUAGUCUUAUUUAAUUUGCACUUUCUAAUGAUUAGCAAUGAUGAGCAUCUUUUAAAGUGCCUAUUGGCCAUUUGUAAGUCUCCUUUGGCAAAAUGUCUGUUUAAGCCUUCUGCCCAUUUUUUCCCCCUGUUAUUGAACUGUAUGAUCUAUUUAUAUAUUUUGGAAAUUAAGCUAUUGUUGGCACAAAAUUUGCAAAUAUUUUCUCCCAGUCUGUAGGUUGUCUUUUCAUUUUGUUUAUGGUUUCUUUUGCUGUGCAAAAGCUUAUGUUUGAUUAGGUCCCUUUUGUUUAUUUGUGCUUUUAUUUCCAUUGCCUUGGUAGACUGACCUAGCAAAACACUUGUAUGAUCUAGCUCAGAAAAUAAUUCUGCCUAUGUUCUCUUCUAGGAGUUUUAUGGGGUCAAGUUGUUAAGCCAUUCUGAGUUUAUUUUUGUGUAUGGUAUAUGGGGUGUUAUAAUUUUAUUGAUUUAUAUGUGGCUGUCCAACGUUCCUAAUACCACUUGCUGAGCAGAAUGUCAUUUCCCCAUUCUGUAUUCUUGCAUCCUUUGUUGAAGAUUAAUUGACCGUAGGUGUGUGGAUUUAUUUCUGGGGUCUCUGUUCUGUUGCAUUGACUUAUACGUCUGUUUUUGUGCCAAUACCACACUGUUUUGAUUACUAUAGCUUUGUAGUAUUGUAUGUAGUCUGGAAGGGUUAUGCUUCCUGCUUUAUUCUUUUUCUUCAGAAUUGCUCUGGCAAUUCUGGGUCUUUUAUGAUUCUAUAUAAAUUUUAGGAUUAUUUGUUUCUGUGAAAAAUGUUACAGUUAAUUUGAUAGGGAUUGCAUUAAAUCUGGUCACUUUGGCCAUUUUAACAAUAUUAAUUCUUCUAAUCUGAGAGCUUGGUAUAUCAUUCCAUGAAAUAUCCAAACUUUUUGCCAAUUACAUUGUAACUAAAUAUUUACCCAUGCCAUUUUAAAGUUUUGUCCUAUUUAGACAAUUACUGUUUUAUACUGAUGUGUUUACAAAAUGAAGAUCUUGAAGACUCUUAAAAGGGACUUUUUAACAAGUACAAGUUUCUGAUCAUCUUUAGAUAUUACCACUGAACUAGGUAACAAAUUACAAAAAUUUAAUGAAAAAUCUGAUAGGAGUUCACAUCAUGGCUCAAGGGUUAAUGAAUCUGACUAGUAUCCAUGAGGAUGCAGGUUCAAUCCCUGGCCUUGCUCAGUAGGUUAAGGAUCUGUGUUGCCAUGGGCUGUGAUGUAGGUUGCAGACACUGCUUGGAUCCCACGUUUCUGUGGCACAGGCUGGUAGCUACAGCUCUGAUUCAACUCCUAGCCAGGGAACCUCCAUAUGCCAUGAGUGUGGCCCUAAAAAAGACAAAAAGGGAAAAAAGAAAAUCUGGUAACUUCAUCCAGAUCAACAAGAAUUACAUAAAACUGGAUUAACUGAUAAAUAUGAUUUGUAACUUUGUGACUUUUUGAGAAAUAUACUGGUUUUAAGUUUGUUAUCCAGAAAAAUCUUCCCUCUUAUGCCAUGACCUACAAUAACUUGAUAAAGUAGAAGUUUGUAAACAAAGAUAAAACAUUUCUAUUUCUUUAUAUAUGAUUUUUUCAAAAUUUAGCUUCUCCAGUUGGCUGUCCUGCAGACUUGAUGGUUUAUUGUAACAGGACUGAAAACUAGUCAUGCUAAUCAUUGUUUAGAUUUGUUCUUUGUUUCCAAAUUGCUUAUUCUUUAUGUGUCCCUGCUACACUGAGUUCGUCAAUAUUACUAGUUGUGUUAUUUAUAUCCUGUCUAUUUUAUAAGACUAUCGCUUCUUAAGAGUACCCAAUGUAUAACUAGGCCUCCAACAAAAUUGAUGGUGACACACUUUUGUAGUAAAUGUGAUCCUGAGGAACUGGAAUUUGUAAAUGUGAUCUUGAGGAACUAGAUCACAUUUACAACUUGACAUAGAAUAAUUGUAAUAGUGUAAUUCUAGAUGUGGGAAGAAGCAUGAAGGGAAAAUAUUUCCUGGAUUAUAAUAGACUAGUAGGAAAAGUGAUCCAAAGCAACAGGGCAUUAUUCAAUGCUGGCACCUUGAGUGGCUAUCAACAAAAUCUUUACCUGAUCUAGGAAUAAAUUCCCAGCAGCAUGGGAUAAAAUUUGAUGAUAAAAAGUCUCCCAAAACUUGGUUGAAUUUAAUAACCAAGGGGAAGCACUGAAGGAGAAAUGUGUGCCUGCUGUAUCAGCAAACAAAGGCUGUUGCAGCCAUUAGACCACCACAUUAGGGCAGUGCCCAUGGAGAGCCCUGAGGGAACUUGGUAUGGACAUAGGAUGCAGGUCAUCAAGCAGUCAGCUGGGACAGCCAUCCCUUACAGUGCACCCCGAGGAGACUCAGGACUAGAAAUCUCAGGAUACCAGCCCAGAAAGCUGAAGUGUAUAUUAAACAAUUUCAAUGAGUUCAGACUUGGCAUCUUCCCACACAUAGAAAAGCACCAAUUUUAUUGAGAUGUCUGGUUUUCUUUGACAAUCAUCUUUUGAUGUUCUGACUAUCUGGUCUUUGUUACAAAAACUUAUAUAUCCUGGCUUACUGAGCUUGCCACUUUGGAGCAAUCCUUAGAGCUAUGUGAGAGUCUUGUCUCUGGGCUUGAAGUCCUGAGAAAGUCUGCCAGAUAAAACGUAAUUUUCUACUUCUAGGCUGUGCAUUUUUUUUCAGUCAACAAUGGUCUAGUAUAGGAUAUUGAAUCUAGUUCUCUGUGGUAUUCAUUACAACCUAGUUUUUUAUCCAGUCUAUAUGUAAUUGGCCUCUCCUAACCCCAAACUCCCAAUCCAUCCCUUUCUAACCUCUCCUCCACUCUUGCAAACCACAGUCUAUUCUUUAGGUCUGUGAGUCUGUUUCUGUUUAGAUAGGCUCAUAGAUAGGUUCACUUGUGUCAUAUUUUAGGUUCCACAUGUUAAUCGUAUCCUAUACUGUUUUCCUUUGACUUUCUGACUUACUUCACUUAAUAUGAUAAUCUCUAAAUCCAUCCAGAUUACUUCAAAUGGCAUGAUUUUAUUCUUUUUUAUGGCUGAGCAGUAUUCCAUACACACACACACAACAUCAUUAUCCAUUCAUCUGUCCAUCUACAUUUAGAUUGCCUACAUGUUUUGGCUGUUAUAAAUACUGCUGCUAUGAACAUUGGGGUGCAUGUAUCUUUUAAAAUUAUAGUUUUGUCCAGAUAAUGUACCAAGGAAUGGGCUUUCCAAAUCCUAUGGUAGUUCUCAUUUUAGUUUUCUGAGGACCCUCCAUACUGUGUUCCAUAGUGGUUGUACCAUUUUACAUUUCUAUCAGCAGUGUAAAGAGUGUUCUCUUUUCUCCACACCCUAUCAGCAUUUAUUGCACCUUUCUUUUUUAGGGCCACACUUGCGGCAUAUUAAAGUUCCCAGGCUAGGGGUUGAAUCGGAGCUGCAGCUGCCAGUCUACAGCGGUGUCUGUGAUGUACGCCACAGCUCACGGCAACACCGGAUCACUUAACCCACUGAGCAAGGCCAGGGAUCGAACCUGCAUUUUCAUGGUUACUAGUCAGGUUCCUUACCACUGAGCCAUGAUGGGAACACCAUUUGUAGACUUUUUAAUGAUGGGGAUCACUGAGGGCAUUCUUGAAAACUGGCUUUUUAACAUUUAAACAAGCUUUUUAACAUUAUUCUUGUUAUUUUUAGGGCUGCACCUAUGGCACAUGCAAGUUCCCAAGCUAGGGGUUGAAUCAGAGCUACAGCUGCUAGCCUAUGCCACAGGCUAUGAGCCAUGUCUAUGACCUACACCACAGUUCACGGCAACGCUGGCUCCCUGACCCACUGAGCAAGGCCAAGGGUCAAACCUGCAUCCUCAUGGAUACUAGUUGGAUUCCUUUCAGCUGCGCCACAACAGGAACUCCAAUUUUUAACAUUAUUUUGAAACCAGUUUUGAUUUUAUAAAUCCUCUGAUAUUAGAGACUCGGAGAGGUCCAUGAAUCAUACUUUGAGAUCUGCUGCCCUGAUAAUAUAAGCUCUCAUCAGGCUACAUGAUUUGUGCUCUUUUGAAGAUGAUUCUCACAUCUACCUCUUUUGCAAUUUCAACUAAGUUUGUUAGAAGUCAAUUUAAAAACAAGUAAGCCAUAUUUAAAAUUUCUUAUAUAUUUUCAAUUUGAACCACAUUCUUGGCUAAUUCAUUCCACAUAUUACCUGUUAAUUAAGUCCUAUCUUCUUUCAUUUUUCAUAAUAGGUCUUAGACAAGGGUUCCUGAGACAGGCUUGACUACAUGCUCAUACACCAGCAUACAACUCAUCCCAACACUGACUUGUGAGACCCCAGUCUUUGUUCCCUUUGAGAAGAAUCCUACUAUUUUUAGCAUUUGAUACAGCUGAGCUUUGUCCCCUUGGUCACCUCAGCCCCCUCCUCUGGAUGGAUACCCUACACUGUGUCCUUGUCAAGACCUUGGCUAGCAGAGCUCAGCACAUAGAGCCAGCAGUCAGCUACACUGAGGUUUGUGCUGGAAUAGGAAAACGGUGUUCCAUUUUCCACUGUUUGACACAAGUAACAGUCCAAGUCUGAUUUUGUUUUGGUUUUUAAGGCUGUACCUGUGGCAUAUGGAGGUUUCUGGAGCUAGGGGUCAAACUGGAGUUGUAGCUGCAGGCCUACACCGCAGCCCCAGCAAUCUGAGUUGCAUCUGUGAACUCCAUCUCAGCUUGUGGCAAUACCAGAUCCUCAACCCACUGAACAAAGCCAGGGAUAGAAUUUGCAUCCUCUUGGAUACUACGUUGGGUUCUUAACCCACUGAGCCACAAUGGGAACUCCUCCACGUCCAGUUGGGACCACCGAGUGAUCUGUUUGGCUGCUACUUCCCUCCUUAUAGCAGGAUACCUGCUCCUCUGGACUCUUCUUAUUCCUAUUCCUUGAUGUUCUGGAAGGCUUGCAACCAUUUUCAGCACCUUAAACCAGAGGAGGGAUAAAUAUCUAAGUUGAGUUCACCUUUGUCUAGAAUGUAAAGCCCUUCCCCUCGUCUAGAGUCAGAACUGGAAGAAUGAGGCUGGAGCUGCCUGCAGCUACGGUUGCUAGAACCACAUUCAGGAGGUGAAAAAGUAGCCAAACAAGACCUACAGAGCCAAGAAUAAGACAGGUAGAUUGAGUCUCUGGUUUCACUCCUGCCUGAGGCUAGUUCCAGCUCCUUUUCUUCCCCAUGAUUGGACUCAAAGCUGGCAAAUUUGUCAAAUUUCUAUCACUUUAUCCUAUCACUGAGACAAUUGACUCUCUGGGCCAAACUAUAUCGUGAGGAACCUGCUUCCUGAAGGAGCACGUGUGGCAAGAAAAUAACAGGGCUGAGAUGCAAUGAAGAUCUAGAGAGAAGAUUGAGAAGCUUGCUGGUAUCAAAAAGGCAGGUGAACCAAGGAAGUAGACAGUUGGGUGGUGGGAAACAGACACUCUGAGGGUUUUGGUGGAAGAAUGAACUGGUGAGAUUCGGAGGAAGGUAAUUUGGCUACAUUUCAUAGAUAACUGAAAUGUCUCCAUUCCUUGAGCCAGUAAUUUUACUCAAUGCUGCAUUGUUUUGUUGUGGUAAAAAGCUGGGAAUAUCCUCAAAACUGUUGGCACCAUGAAUGGAGGAGUGAUUAAGUAAAUCAUGGAAACAUGUCCAAGUUCUACUAACAGUAAAAAAGGGUGUAAAGUCAUGUAAAGAAUUUGUUUAUAGGUGUGUUUUGUAUGUGCAAAGCAAAAAGUGUGGAGAAUCAUGCAUUGCGUAGUUAGGGGAUCUCUCUGGGAAGGUGACCGUAAUUACAGAAGACUUUGUAUGUGUGAGCCCAGAAUAUUGGGAAAGAUUAAUGUCUGUUUUCUUUCUGUUUCUAUAAGAAAGUGGCAUGAGGAUGAGUCAGUUCUUUCACAGUUAGUGUUAGUAUUCUGAGUUCUAGGGUCUCUGUCCAGGAGGGUUUAUUCAUUUAUUCAUUCACUCAUUUAUUUGAUCAGCCAAGGAUUGAGGACCAAGUGCCAACUAGUUAGGCAUGCUUCUCAGUGCUGGGUAUGAAGUAGCAAAACAGAAUUAUUACCCUUAUGGAUUUUAUGAUUGAUUGUGAAAACAAAUAUCAGAUGUGUGGAGAACAGAGGAAGAGCAUGGGGACAGGCUGCUGGGUGGGGACAGUAGGGUCCUAUGAUAUAGAAAGUGGACAGAGAAAGCCUCCCUGAGGAGGCAACAGAGGACCUGAAAGAAGCAAGGAAGCCAUGAAGCUCUGGAGGACAGAGGGGUCCUCCAGGCCCAGGGACAGUGUACAUAAGACCCUAAAGGUGAAGUGAGCUUGAUGAUUUGAGGCCAGAAGGACUGUGUGGCUGGAAGGAAGAAUGAGAAGUGAAGUGAGAGGAGAGGGAGGGGGCAGAGCAUUGUGCUCUGGACUUGAGGCCAUUGCACCAUCCCAAGAGCAGUCUGAGAGGACAGGCCACUAGAGGCUUUGGGUCAACUUUCAAAUGAUCACUCUGGUUGCUGUGUUGAGAUGAGGGUAGAGGGGGCAAGGAAUGGAGGCAGGGAGAAGAUGAGUUAGAAAUGAUUGCCAGG